GAUGAACGCUGGCGGCGUGCCUAAUACAUGCAAGUCGAGCGAACGGACGAGAAGCUUGCUCCUCUGAUGUUAGCGGCGGACGGGUGAGUAACACGUGGAUAACCUACCUAUAAGACUGGGAUAACUUCGGGAAACCGGAGCUAAUACCGGAUAAUAUUUUGAACCGCAUGGUUCAAAAGUGAAAGACGGUCUUGCUGUCACUUAUAGAUGGAUCCGCGCUGCAUUAGCUAGUUGGUAAGGUAACGGCUUACCAAGGCAACGAUGCAUAGCCGACCUGAGAGGAUGAAUGGGCAAACCGGAACGGGGACACGGUCCGAAAUCCUACGGGAGGGAGCAGUAGGGAACUUUCCGGAAUUGGCGAAAGCCUGAAGGGGCAACACCGCCUGAGUGAUGAAGGUUCUCGGAUCGGAAAAACCUGUUAUUAGGGAAGAAAAUAAUUGUAAGAAAAUGUGCACCUCUUGACGGUACCUAAUCAGAAAGGCAAGGCUAAAUACGUU
rnacentral:rRNA from 1 species